rnacentral:tRNA from 1 species
AAGGGUGUAGCUCAGUGGGAAAGCGUGUGCCUACCAUGCACAAGGUCCUGGGUUCAAUGCCCGGGACCUCCA